rnacentral:sRNA from 1 species
UCUUUUUAGUCCUAGGCUUUAUGUUCUGUAUUCAGAGAUCUCUCUCUAUUGAUACAUGCCAUUUUUUCUUUUCAGUUUUUCCUUUAACAUAUCUCUCCCUUUUCUGCAGGAAUGACAUCUUUGUGUUCCUGUUAAGCACACGAGCUGGAGGACUGGGUAUCAAUCUCACUGCUGCAGACACAGUGAUUUUCUAUGAUAGCGACUGGAACCCCACUGUGGACCAGCAGGCCAUGGACAGGGCCCACCGCUUAGGGCAGACAAAGCAGGUUACUGUGUACCGGCUCAUCUGUAAAGGCACCAUUGAAGAACGCAUUCUGCAAAGAGCCAAGGAGAAGAGUGAGAUUCAGCGGAUGGUGAUUUCAGGUGGGAACUUCAAACCAGAUACCUUGAAACCCAAAGAGGUGGUUAGUCUUCUUCUAGACGACGAAGAGUUGGAGAAGAAACUGAGGCUGCGGCAGGAAGAGAAACGGCAACAGGAGGAAACCAACCGAGUGAAAGAGCGCAAGCGGAAGCGGGAAAAGUAUGCAGAGAAGAAGAAAAAA